GAUGAAGAACGCAGCGAAAUGCGAUAAGUAAUGUGAAUUGCAGAAUUCAGUGAAUCAUCGAAUCUUUGAACGCACAUUGCGCCCGCCAGUAUUCUGGCGGGCAUGCCUGUCUGAGCGUCAUUUCAACCCUCAAGCAACUUCUGCUUGGUGUUGGGGAUCGGCCGUCAAACGCCGCCCCCGAAAUCUAUUGGCGAUCUCGCUGUAGCUUCCUAUGCGUAGUAGUAACAUCUCGCAUCUGGAGAGCGGCGCGGUCAUGCCGUAAAACACCCAACUUCUCAGGGUGACCUCAGAUCAGGUAGGAAUACCCGCUGAACUUAAGCAUAUCAAUAAGCGGAGGA
rnacentral:misc_RNA from 1 species